rnacentral:rRNA from 1 species
GGGUUGUGAGGUUAAGUGACUAAGCGUACACGGUGGAUGCCUAGGCAGUCAGAGGCGAUGAAGGGCGUGCUAAUCUGCGAAAAGCGUCGGUAAGGUGAUAUGAACCGUUACAACCGGCGAUACCCGAAUGGGGAAACCCAGUGUGUUUCGACACACUAUCAUGUCAUGAAUACAUAGUGGCAUGAGGCGAACCGGGGGAACUGAAACAUCUAAGUACCCCGAGGAAAAGAAAUCAACCGAGAUUCCCCCAGUAGCGGCGAGCGAACGGGGAGGAGCCCAGAACCUGAAUCGGCUUGUGUGUUAGUGGAAGCGUCUGGAAAGUCGCGCAGCAAAGGGUGAUAGCCCCGUACACUAAAAUGCACAGGUCGUGAGUUCGAUGAGUAGGGCGGGACACGUGACAUCCUGUCUGAAUAUGGGGGGACCAUCCUCCAAGGCUAAAUACUCCUGACUGACCGAUAGUGAACCAGUACCGUGAGGGAAAGGCGAAAAGAACCCCGGCGAGGGGAGUGAAAUAGAACCUGAAACCGUGUACGUACAAGCAGUGGGAGCACCUUCGUGGUGUGACUGCGUACCUUUUGUAUAAUGGGUCAGCGACUUAUAUUUUGUAGCAAGGUUAACCGUAUAGGGGAGCCGUAGGGAAACCGAGUCUUAACUGGGCGAUUAGUUGCAAGGUAUAGACCCGAAACCCGGUGAUCUAGCCAUGGGCAGGUUGAAGGUUGGGUAACACUAACUGGAGGACCGAACCGACUAAUGUUGAAAAAUUAGCGGAUGACUUGUGGCUGGGGGUGAAAGGCCAAUCAAACCGGGAGAUAGCUGGUUCUCCCCGAAAGCUAUUUAGGUAGCGCCUCGUGAACUCAUCUUCGGGGGUAGAGCACUGUUUCGGCUAGGGGGCCAUCCCGGCUUACCAAACCGAUGCAAACUCCGAAUACCGAAGAAUGUUAUCACGGGAGACACACGGCGGGUGCUAACGUCCGUCGUGAAGAGGGAAACAACCCAGACCGCCAGCUAAGGUCCCAAAGUCAUGGUUAAGUGGGAAACGAUGUGGGAAGGCAUAGACAGCCAGGAUGUUGGCUUAGAAGCAGCCAUCAUUUAAAGAAAGCGUAAUAGCUCACUGGUCGAGUCGGCCUGCGCGGAAGAUGUAACGGGGCUAAACCAUGCACCGAAGCUGCGGCAGCGACGCUUAGGCGUUGUUGGGUAGGGGAGCGUUCUGUAAGCCGUUGAAGGUGGCCUGUGAGGGUUGCUGGAGGUAUCAGAAGUGCGAAUGCUGACAUAAGUAACGAUAAAGCGGGUGAAAAGCCCGCUCGCCGGAAGACCAAGGGUUCCUGUCCAACGUUAAUCGGGGCAGGGUGAGUCGACCCCUAAGGCGAGGCUGAAAAGCGUAGUCGAUGGGAAACAGGUUAAUAUUCCUGUACUUGGUGUUACUGCGAAGGGGGGACGGAGAAGGCUAGGCUAGCCGGGCGACGGUUGUCCCGGUUUAAGCGUGUAGGGGGUGUGACCUGGUAAAUCCGGUUGCAUACUAACCCUGAGGCGUGAUGACGAUGCACUACGGUGCAGAAGUAGUUGAUGCCCUGCUUCCAGGAAAAGCCUCUAAGCUC